rnacentral:lncRNA from 10 species
UCAAACAAGACGCAGGGAGAGCAUCUUUGUGUUUUCAAGCUAACAUGUGGGGCAAGGGCAAGAAGGCAGCAGUAACCGCCAUGUUUGGGAAAAGCUCCAGAAACUCCCCUAGCAAGGCUGGAUCUCUCCAAGCUUCAGAAAGAGGAAGACAACUGAACAGGCAGGGCUCGCAUCUUCUUUAGAGGCGGUGGAGUUGGGGGACAGCUGGUAACAGGAUAGAUAGCAACAACCACCUUGAAGAUAAUGCACGAAGUGUCGGCACUGCACAGUACAUGAAUGAUCUCACUUAACUCCCGUGCAAACCCUAUGCCAUGGCUGCUAUUAUCAUUCACGUUUACAGGAUGAGGAAACUAAUGCUCAUGCAGGGUGAAAGCCUCCCUUCCCUACAUCAUAAUCAUCAGAGCAUAUUUAAUUCCUCUCUGGGAGGGAGCCCUUUGGGAACUGCUGGCGGGAGCCUAAAUGAGUCCUCUUACCUCCUUCUUACGUGCCUAGGCUGGAGGUGGCAUGGCAUCAUAAAAGCUAAAGUCUUAAGGUCUUUCAAUCUGUAUCUUCUUCAAAUUUCAGCAUCUUAGUUUUGCAAAGAAAACGGAAUAUGAGAGCAACCUUAAAU